AUUUUUUGUAUCAAGUGUUUUGUGACUUUUGUAUAUUUGACUGCGUAUACAGCCUGUAUAUUGUUAUGAAACGAGUAAUAUUCAACAACUUACAUCGGUUAAGAGGUCUUAAAAAAUCGGAAAAUUUGAUUGAUAUUAACAUGUCAACAAAAUUUUCACAACACUCUUGACCAUGUUCUUAUUUAGACAGCAUUUAACUUACUUGAUUAUAUCCUAGAGUACGGAAGAACAGACAGCCCCCUCAAAAUUUAUCACAAAAACGGCCUUGAGACAACCUGUCGAUCAACAGGAGAGGCAAUUGUAGACAAAGUCGUUUUUUUUAAUCUUGAGAGUUUGCUUCAUUGUUUGGUCUACAUAGUAUUUUUUACAGGUUAGUUGGAGAAAUAAGUGAGGUUAGAUUUUCCUCAGACCAUGGAGUAAAUAACAAGAUGGAACGUGGAAAAAUAAAUUGGCUAGUUCCAGGCAAUAAAUAUGCUAACAUUUCUUAGGAAAUUGCAAUUUUAGGAAAAUUCUUCGAAAAAAACUUCAAAAAUUUGCUUAAUACUCAAAAAAGACAGGCUUAGACAAAGGUACCUAACAUGUUCGGUUUAAUUUUAUCAUUUUUGACUUGUUUUAAUCAAAAUUUUGCGAAAUUGCUUUUGUGACUGUAGAAAAGACUAAAAUUCGCUAAAAAGACAAAUCUAAUUAUUGCCUCGCUUCGACUGAAACAACGAAAAUAGCAAAUAUAAAAAAAUAGUUUUUACCAGAAAAAUGUGCUAAAAAUCUCUAAAAAAAAUGAUUUUAAGAUUUAUCUGUAUCAUUUUUAGUGCAUUUUUAAUGAAAUAUUUUUAAUGACAAACGUGUUGAAACAACAAAAAUAAUGAAAUUUUUAAAUGAAUUUAGUAAUUUUCCAAGACAAAACAAUUUCUAAGAAGAUUUUCAUCAUCGAACUUUCAAGGUUUACUUUUUUACCAAAUUUCGACUCAGUCAAAUUAUAUUAAAAUGUUCGAUAAAGACAAAAAAUCAAUGUAGUUCAUGAUCCGAUAUAAUGUUUUCAUAAAAAAAAUUAAGUUAAUGGUUUUUUCAGGCAGUUUUCACAACUGACAAUAAAAUAAAUCUCUGGUACAAAAAUAAACACGGUUGCACGAAGUAUAAGUAAAAAAAUAAGAUCAAUUUCCGUCCAUUUCGAAAUUUUUGAGGCAAUUUUAACUUAACAUUCUGUUUAUACCUCAAAACUCAGCUUAAAUAUACAUAAAAAAAUUGCGAAAUAAUUGCGUUUGUGACUGUAGAAGAAACUAAAAUGCUCUAAAAAGACAAAUGUAAUUAUUGUCUUGCUUCUAGUGAAACAACGAAAAUAACAAAUUUAAAAAAAAUAGUUUUUACCACAAAAAUGUGAGAAAAAAUUCUAAAAAAAUCAUUUUUAGAUUUAUCUGUAUCAUUUUUAAUGAAAUGUUUCUAACGACAAACGUGUUAAAACAAACAAAAAUAAUGAAAAUUUUAAUUGAAUUUUGUGAUUUUCCAAGACAAAACAAUUUCUAAGGAGAUUUUCAUCAUCGAACUUUGAAGACUUCCUUUUUUACCAAAUUAUAUUAUAAAGACAAAAUCAAGUAGUUUGUGAUCGAUGGUGUUUUUCAAAAAAAAAAAAAAACAAAUAAAAUUAGGUUAAUGGUUAUGUAUUUUUCAGGCUGUUUUCACAACUGACAAUAAAAUAAAUCUCUGGUACAAAAAUAAACAGAGUUGAGUAAAAAAUAAGAUCAAUUUCGAAAUUUUUUAAGGCAAUUUUAACAUUCUGUUUUUAUCUCAAAACUCAGCUUAAAUACUCACAAAACGCCUUUUUUAUUAAAAAAUUUGAAAAAAUAAAAUUUUAUGUCUUAAUGCAAGUAUUGUUUCAGCCAGUUGUGGUAAAAUUGUUCAAAAAAAACACAUUUUUGCAACAAA